AGAGAAGAAGAAAAAUUGAGUGGAUGAAGAAACUGCGGUACAUCUACUCCAUGGAAUACUACUCAGCCAUUAAAAAGAGUGCAUUUCUACCAUUUGCAAGUGAAUGGUCCCAAAUAAAGACCAUUAUGCUCAGUGAAAAAAGCCAAUCGCAAA